CUAAUGUACAAAAGAUAACUAUUCAAAAGCUGUCAAAAUAAAAUGGUGAAUUGAGUUUAAACCAGAAAAGAUAUAAACGUAAUCUUUGGGAUUCAACUUGUAAGGAUGUUCCAAGAACCACUUAGUUGGAGAAGGAAAACUGUGCCGUUCAUUAACAAGUCCUGUGCUUUAUAAUAUAUUAAAAAAUGGAAGGACGUGAAGAAAACAGGUUUGUAAAUGAUGUUGUACAUCAUGCAGAUAGCUCAGAAGAAGAAGUAAGUUUUUUUUUUAAUUACAAAAGUAAAUAUAUAAUAUAAUAUUUGUUGCUGCCUUGUUCUAUAUAAAUGUUUCUAACAUGCAGGUAACAUUUAUAUAUGUAUUAGUUUGAAUAAAUCAUUUUAAUAAAGUUACAUUAUAGGCAGGAAUGUUUGACUGGAAAUAUAAACGAUGUUGUACAUAAUGCAGAUAGCUUAGGCAAAAAAGAGAUUGGUGAAAUGGAGAAUGAGACUAACUAGGGUGAAAAAAAAUGAAUAUUAAUAUGUGAAUGGUACUUUGUUUAACAUCUACCUGUUUCUACAGAUACAGUACAGACGCAUUUAUAAAUGGGCUUGAUGUUUUUUUGAAUUAAAUAUGUUGUAUUGA